CACGUGAGCAACGUGCCCAUAACUCUGGGAUAACCUCCGGAAACGGUGGCUAAUACUGGAUAUCUAACACGAUCGCAUGGUCUGUGUUUGGAAAGAUUUUUUGGUUAUGGAUCGGCUCACGGCCUAUCAGCUUGUUGGUGAGGUAAUGGCUCACCAAGGCGACGACGGGUAGCCGGCCUGAGAGGGUGACCGGCCACACUGGGACUGAGACACGGCCCAGACUCCUACGGGAGGCAGCAGUGGGGAAUAUUGCACAAUGGGCGAAAGCCUGAUGCAGCAACGCCGCGUGAGGGAUGACGGCCUUCGGGUUGUAAACCUCUUUUAGUAGGGAAGAAGCGAAAGUGACGGUACCUGCAGAAAAAGCACCGGCUAACUACGUGCCAGCAGCCGCGGUAAUACGUAGGGUGCAAGCGUUGUCCGGAAUUAUUGGGCGUAAAGAGCUCGUAGGCGGUUUGUCGCGUCUGCUGUGAAAUCCCGAGGCUCAACCUCGGGUCUGCAGUGGGUACGGGCAGACUAGAGUGUGGUAGGGGAGAUUGGAAUUCCUGGUGUAGCGGUGGAAUGCGCAGAUAUCAGGAGGAACACCGAUGGCGAAGGCAGAUCUCUGGGCCAUUACUGACGCUGAGGAGCGAAAGCAUGGGGAGCGAACAGGAUUAGAUACCCUGGUAGUCCAUGCCGUAAACGUUGGGCGCUAGAUGUGGGGACCAUUCCACGGUUUCCGUGUCGUAGCUAACGCAUUAAGCGCCCCGCCUGGGGAGUACGGCCGCAAGGCUAAAACUCAAAGGAAUUGACGGGGGCCCGCACAAGCGGCGGAGCAUGCGGAUUAAUUCGAUGCAACGCGAAGAACCUUACCAA
rnacentral:rRNA from 1 species